rnacentral:rRNA from 2 species
GGCGAAUGAACAGGGAUGAGCUCAGGCUGGAAACCGAUACAUCUGUGUCGGGCUGUAGCCUGCAGGCAUAGCGCUAUCGGCGGCUCGAGCGCAAGCCUCUUGGAAUAGAGCGUGUGCCCGGGUGAGAAUCCUGCAUUUCGCUCGAUGUCCGCUGUCCACAGUGCUUGUCCUGAGAGUCACGCUCCUCGGAAUUGGAGCGUAAAUCAGGUGGUAAGUUUCAUCCAAAGCUAAAUAGAAGCUCGAGACCAAUAGCAAACAAGUACCAUGAGGGAAAGAUGAAAAGGACUUUGGAAAGAGAGUUAAAAGUGUUUGAAAUUGCUGAGAGCGAAGCGAACGGAGCCACAUGUCGUGCUGAGAUUGCUGUGGGUCUUUGUGAGCCUUGAGCAUGUAAGCGCAAGCUGACUGCUUAUGUGUGAGCAUUUGCCCGCAGUGUUUCUCAGCAUGCGAGUCAUUAGCCACAUUUGUUUGAGGAUGGCCUUCAGCUCACAUGGUACACUUGUUAGUGUUCCUCUGUGCGGUGUGGGACUCAGACAGGUGUGGCUUGUUGACCCAGUGGUUUUUUUCGACCCGUCUUGAAACACGGACCAAGGA